rnacentral:tRNA from 1 species
GCUGUCAUAGCUCAGUUGGUAGAGCGAGUGAUUUGUAAUCACUAGGUCGGGGGUUCGAAUCCGUCUGGCAGCUCCA